UCCGGCUUAGCACCGGCAGUCCCUUUAGAGUGCCCAACUUAAUGAUGGCAACUAAAGGCGAGGGUUGCGCUCGUUGCGGGACUUAACCCAACAUCUCACGACACGAGCUGACGACAGCCAUGCACCACCUGUGAUCCUGCCCGUGAGGGAAGCCGUGUUUCUACGACAUUCCAGUGCAUGUCAAGCCUUGGUAAGGUUCUUCGCGUCGCGUCGAAUUAAACCACAUGCUCCGCUGCUUGUGCGGGCCCCCGUCAAUUCCUUUGAGCUUUAGCCUUGCGGCCGUACUCCCCAGGCGGGGUGCUUAAUGCGUUAGCUUCGGCACGGACGGAGUCGACACCGCCCACACCUAGCACCCAUCGUUUACGGCGUGGACUAC
rnacentral:misc_RNA from 1 species